rnacentral:lncRNA from 1 species
CUGGUCUCAAACUUCUGACCUCGUGAUCCGCCCACCUCAGCCUUCCAAAGUGCUGGGAUUACAGGCAUGAGCCACCGCGCCCGGCUGGAGACAAGAGACAGGGUCUCACUCUGCUGUCCUGGCUGGAGUGCAGUGGUGCAAUCAUGGCUCACUGCAGCCUCGAACUCCUGGGCUUAAGCCAUCCACCUGCCUCAGUCUCCUAAGUAGCUGGCACCACAGGUGCACACCAUCACGCCGAGCUAAUUUUUAAAUUUUUUUGUAGAGAAAGGGUCCCACUAUUUGCCCAGGCUGGUCUCGAACUCUCAAGUGAUUCUCCCACCUUUGUCUUCCAAAGUGCUGGAAGACUGGGUCCGCCGCAGAGAAUACAUUUCAUAGCCCGGGAGACUGGUGGUUUCAGUGCCUUCAUGAAUUUUACUCCCUGUAGUAAGAGGCUUUCCAUGAGCAGUCUUGUGGUCACCACAUUUUAUUAGUGGGUUUUCCCCAGUCAUCUUCCAUAAAACAGGCCUGCACAGGCUGGG